CCGGCCCAAAUCUCAUUUCAAUAUACCAAACACACCCCUUAUGUUUGUCAUUUGUGUUGAAGAGGUUUUCAACCUCAAACCCUAGCCGCUUGCACUCUCUCUUGCCCUCACGUCACACAACUUGCUAGAAAUGAUAAGUUUUCAGGCGUAUGUGCUUUUAGUCAGUAUUGUCAAGGCAUUUUGGUGAUCUUGCCCUCUCUCAUCCUCACCACCGUAUGUCAACCCAAGUUGGAAGUAAACCCUCAUAUUUCUUUUACUUUUCUAUUCAAAAUAAGGAUGAAGUCCUUAAUGAUUUUUGUCAUCCUCUUCACGAUUUCUUAUUGGCUUUGGCUGAAUCAAAAGGAUUCGACAGAAAUUCUUCAAAACCCCCAAGUCCCACAUAGGUUAAAAACCUUAAGUUAGAGAUUUUUGGGGUUCUAUAUAAAGAACCCCAUUUUCUACUGUUGACACACACACAAGUUUUCACGAGCAAAAAAAGCUAGAAUUUUGAGUUUGUGAUAAAAGUGAUCCGACUAGAAUUGGAAUACUUUGUAUAUUUCUCUAAUUUUGGGAUCUUGUUUUAAAAUUUUCUUUUAUUUUGUGGCUGAGUAUGAGUGUGGAGAAAGAUAAAGGUCUCCAAAUUCAUUCUUGAUCAAAUGCUGCGCACGAGAAAGCCCCAGAUUGUUUGGCAGGUGUGUAUAGCUAGGAUCCUUGGACGUCAGCUGGGAUUGGCAAGUUCCACCUCAUUCUGGAGCUGUGCUGAGUCAUGUAUCGAUAUGUAUGAUUAUGGGUAUGUCAGGGCCCUGUCCUGACUCAUAAUGUUCAGUUUACUUCUUAGAGACUUCUGCAGACAGUGUCUUGUGGUAUGUUUGUCGAGAUGUCGACAAAGUGAUGUCACUUGAGUCAUUUGUGGAUUUUAAAAGAGUAUGUAUUUUAGAUGAUUUCAAUUGGUUUACUUAAAGUACCUAUUUGAUUGAAGGUUUUCAUAAUCGUUAUAAAGAUGAUGAUUUCUAUC